UGGGGAAUAUUGCACAAUGGGCGAAAGCCUGAUGCAGCGACGCCGCGUGAGGGAUGACGGCCUUCGGGUUGUAAACCUCUUUCAGUAGGGACGAAGCGCAAGUGACGGUACCUGCAGAAGAAGCACCGGCUAACUACGUGCCAGCAGCCGCGGUAAUACGUAGGGUGGGAGCGUUGUCCGGAAUUACUGGGCGUAAAGAGCUCGUAGGCGGUUUGUCACGUCGUCUGUGAAAUCCUAGGGCUUAACCCUGGACGUGCAGGCGAUACGGGCUGACUUGAGUACUACAGGGGAGACUGGAAUUUCUGGUGUAGCGGUGGAAUGCACAGAUAUCAGGAAGAACACCGAUGGCGAAGGCAGGUCUCUGGGUAGUAACUGACGCUGAGGAGCGAAAGCAUGGGUAGCGAACAGG
rnacentral:rRNA from 1 species